rnacentral:rRNA from 1 species
ACGUACACUCCUGCGGGAGGCAGCAGUGGGGAAUAUUGCACAAUGGGCGCAAGCCUGAUGCAGCUAUGCCGCGUGUAUGAAGAAGGCCUUCGGGUUGUAAAGUACUUUCAGCGGGGAGGAAGGUGUUGAGGUUAAUAACCUCAGCAAUUGACGUUACCCGCAGAAGAAGCACCGGCUAACUCCGUGCCAGCAGCCGCGGUAAUACGGAGGGUGCAAGCGUUAAUCGGAAUUACUGGGCGUAAAGCGCACGCAGGCGGUCUGUCAAGUCGGAUGUGAAAUCCCCGGGCUCAACCUGGGAACUGCAUUCGAAACUGGCAGGCUAGAGUCUUGUAGAGGGGGGUAGAAUUCCAGGUGUAGCGGUGAAAUGCGUAGAGAUCUGGAGGAAUACCGGUGGCGAAGGCGGCCCCCUGGACAAAGACUGACGCUCAGGUGCGAAAGCGUGGGGAGCAAACAGGAUUAGAAACCCUUGUAGUCCC